GACGAACGCUGGCGGCGUGCUUAACACAUGCAAGUCGAACGGUAAGGCCUUUCGGGGUACACGAGUGGCGAACGGGUGAGUAACACGUGGGUGAUCUGCCCCCUACUCUGGGAUAAGCCUGGGAAACUGGGUCUAAUACUGGAUAUGACCUUGGACUUCAUGGUUCUUGGUGGAAAGUUUUUCGGUAGGGGAUGAGCCCGCGGCCUAUCAGCUUGUUGGUGGGGUAAUGGCCUACCAAGGCGACGACGGGUAGCCGGCCUGAGAGGGCGACCGGCCACACUGGGACUGAGACACGGCCCAGACUCCUACGGGAGGCAGCAGUGGGGAAUAUUGCACAAUGGGCGCAAGCCUGAUGCAGCAACGCCGCGUGAGGGACGACGGCCUUCGGGUUGUAAACCUCUUUUAGCAGGGAAGAAGCGAAAGUGACGGUACCUGCAGAAAAAGCACCGGCUAACUACGUGCCAGCCGCCGCAGUAAGAC
rnacentral:rRNA from 1 species